UACGUAGGGGCUAGCGUUAUCCGGAUUUACUGGGCGUAAAGGGUGCGUAGGUGGUUUCUUAAGUCAGGAGUGAAAGGCUACGGCUUAACCGUAGUAAGCUCUUGAAACUGGGUGGCUUGAGUAUGGAAGAGGUAAGUGGAAUUCCUAGUGUAGCGGUGAAAUGCGUAGAUAUUAGGAGGAACACCAGUGGCGAAGGCGACUUACUGGUCCAUAACUGACGCUGAGGCGCGAAAGCGUGGGUAGCGAAAGGGAUUAGAUACCCCCCGUAGUCCCUGAGCGGGCUGGCAAGG
rnacentral:rRNA from 1 species